CGGUAAUACGGAGGGUGCAAGCGUUAAUCGGAAUUACUGGGCGUAAAGCGCACGCAGGCGGUUUGUUAAGUCAGAUGUGAAAUCCCCGAGCUUAACUUGGGAACUGCAUUUGAAACUGGCAAGCUAGAGUCUUGUAGAGGGGGGUAGAAUUCCAGGUGUAGCGGUGAAAUGCGUAGAGAUCUGGAGGAAUACCGGUGGCGAAGGCGGCCCCCUGGACAAAGACUGACGCUCAGGUGCGAAAGCGUGGGGAGCAAACAGGAUUA
rnacentral:rRNA from 1 species